CAACACAGAGUGUGUACCACUACCACAUGCCCAGGACAUCCUCUCAAACUGUCUUUGUCAUUCCCCUACAAACCUUUGUCUACACAGGGCCCCCACUGUCCACUCCAAUCUUUCUUGGACCUUUGAAUGGAAUCACAGGAGGAGGCAGUGUAUGUGUAGCUGCCCAAUGUCAAGUGUCACCGUUGUCUGCUGUCACCCAAAAGCCAUAGACAAUUUGCCAUUCUCAAGAUUUCCUUUGUUGAACAAACCCUGAAGUCCACAGAGUGACUCUCCGAUCUCCUUUCUGAUGAACAGAACUGCAUCCACCAAGUGUUGGUCACUGAGUGGGAUAGAAGUUCAUCCAUCAGAAUUAUCACAGCCUCUACAGCAGAUCUUCAUGGGGCCAAGGCCACAGCUAACCCCUUGACAUGGAGCACCCAUUUCAUCCUCAGUGACCCUAACCUCUCAAUCCACUCAGUCCCAACCCAUUUGGCACUGUAAACUAGGAUUGAGUGAGGCCCUUGCAUAGGGCCAGGACCUGAAUCCACAGGUGACCAAUUCCCACUGGGAUGCUAAGCCCAGAGGCUCCUGCAAAAGGACCUGCAGUGCAUGGAAAAAUCCCAUGAGACAAGUGCCAGAGAAUUGUACAGAGUGGACUGACAUUUGAGGUGAGCACACAUCUGGUGAGGUGAUGCUGUGUAAGAGCUGGAGACAGUGGAGGAAGACACCUUGCUAAUGGUCCUUGGACACCAGGCCCAGUACAGAAAAUGAGGUACAAUGGCAGAAUUCAUUCAUGACAAGAAAUGAAACGAUUUUGUGUCUGUUCG